UAUCCAUUUCUGAACUCCUCUGGGCUCU
rnacentral:piRNA from 1 species